AACGCUAGCUACAGGCUUAACACAUGCAAGUCGAGGGGCAGCAUGGUCUUAGCUUGCUAAGACUGAUGGCGACCGGCGCACGGGUGAGUAACGCGUAUCCAACCUGCCUGUUACCACGGCACAGCCCGUCGAAAGGCGGAUUAAUGCCGUAUGUGGUCCUUUGCGGGCAUCUAAUUAGGACUAAAGGUUCAGCGGUAACGGAUGGGGAUGCGUCCGAUUAGCUAGACGGCGGGGUAACGGCCCACCGUGGCGACGAUCGGUAGGGGUUCUGAGAGGAAGGUCCCCCACACUGGAACUGAGACACGGUCCAGACUCCUACGGGAGGCAGCAGUGAGGAAUAUUGGUCAAUGGGCGUAAGCCUGAACCAGCCAAGUAGCGUGAGGGAAGACUGCCCUAUGGGUUGUAAACCUCUUUUGUGCGGGGAUAAAGUGUGGGACGUGUCCCAUAUUGCAGGUACCGCACGAAUAAGGACCGGCUAAUUCCGUGCCAGCAGCCGCGGUAAUACGGAAGGUCCGGGCGUUAUCCGGAUUUAUUGGGUUUAAAGGGAGCGCAGGCCGUCCUUUAAGCGUGCUGUGAAAUGCCGCGGCUCAACCGUGGCACUGCAGCGCGAACUGGAGGACUUGAGUACGCACGAGGUAGGCGGAAUUCGUGGUGUAGCGGUGAAAUGCUUAGAUAUCACGAAGAACUCCGAUUG
rnacentral:rRNA from 1 species